GGAGUUUUCAAAACAAGAAAUGCCUUGUCAUCCAGAUUUUACUGGCCAGGAAUGAUGGUUGAUAUUUUGAAAUGGGUAGCUGAGUGUGACAGAUGUCAAAAGAUUGGUAAACCACUUGUGGUCGAUUCAACACUGCAGAGUAUUCAGGUUUCAACAGUAUGGGAAUUGGUGGGGAUUGGUUUAACUGGGACUUUGCCGCAGACUGCUGAUGGAUACCAGUAUAUAUUAACCGCUACAGACUACUUCACAAAAUGGGUCAAAGCUUUUCCACUAAAAACAAAGACUGUGAAGGAAGUUGCAAAGUGUCUGUGCACUGUAGUAUAUCGACAUGGCUGUCCUCUCCAAAUCCUCUCAGAUCAAGGAAGAGAGUUUGUUAAUGAAGUGAGUAUUUAAACUAUAGAUUUUGUUUUGCAGUUUAAAUAUGGUUAGUGAUAUUUUGAUUAUGUAAUGUAUUUACUAAAGAAGCAGGUCAUGGUUAGCUGUCCUAUUAUUGUUGCAUGUUUGAGUGCCUAGUGGCAUAUUGUAGUACAGUACAAGCUCGCUAUAGCGCCCUCUUGUGUUGUGAACCUCCGGCUAUAACGAACAUGGUCCAUGGAUCCCAAUUACAAUACUGUAUAAUAAUGCUGCAUUUAAAAAAAAAGGAUGUUGCAAAUGCGCUUUUAAAUUUUUCACUCGACUGGUUUUGAAAGUUCCAUGUUUUUGGACUGGGUUCUACUAUUAAUAAACGCAGAAUACUGGA